GUGCUCGCGUCGGCAGCACAUAUACUAAAACUGGAACGAUAAAGACAAGAUUGGCAUACCCCCUGCUCAAAUAGACCUUACUGUAAAAAAAAAAAAAAAAGGCCAUCUCU
rfam:Erinaceus europaeus unplaced genomic scaffold scaffold00073, whole genome shotgun sequence